CCUACGGGAGGCAGCAGUGAGGAAUAUUGGUCAAUGGGCGAGAGCCUGAACCAGCCAAUUCGCGUGAGGGUGUACUGCCCUAUGGGUUGUAAACCUCUUUUUUCGGGGAGCAAAAGCCGGACGUGUCCGGCUGUGAGAGUACCCGAAGGAAAAGCAUCGGCUAACUCCGGGCCAGCAGCCGCGGUAAUACGGAGGAUGCGAGCGUUAUCCGGAUUUAUUGGGUUUAAAGGGUGCGCAGGCGGAUUUUUAAGUCAGCGGUAAAAUCGUGGGGCUCAACCCCAUCCAGCCGUUGAAACUGGGGAUCUAGAGUGUGCGAGAGGUAUGCGGAAUGCGUGGUGUAGCGGUGAAAUGCAUAGAUAUCACGCAGAACCCCGAUUGCGAAGGCAGCAUACCGGUGCACAACUGACGCUCAGGCACGAAAGCGUGGGUAUCGAACAGGAUUAGAUACCCCGGUAGUC
rnacentral:rRNA from 1 species